rnacentral:misc_RNA from 1 species
GAUGAAGAACGUAGCGAAAUGCGAUACGUAGUGUGAAUUGCAGAAUUCAGUGAAUCAUCGAAUCUUUGAACGCACAUUGCACCUCUCGGUAUUCCGGGAGGUAUGCCUGUUCGAGCGUCAUUUGUACCCUCAAGCUAUGCUUGGUGUUGGGUGUUUGUUCCGCCUCUGUGUGUGAACUCGCCUCAAAACAAUUGGCAGCCGGCGUACUUGUUUCGGAGCGCAGCACAUUUUGCGAUCCAGAUCAACGUACAGCGGCAUCCAAGAAGCCUUAUUUAACGCUCUUGACCUCGGAUCAGGUAGGGAUACCCGCUGAACUUAAGCAUAUCAAUAAGCGGAGGA